CUGAGCACGUGGUAGAGUACGGAGAACUUUGCCACGUGGCAGAGAAAAGCUGGCAGACUGGCCAUCCUCCAACAUCUCCCCGUCACCGUCUGUUCCCGACGUAUCCUUCAUCCUGCAUGCUCGUUUCUGUCUACAAACUCGCCGGCUCGUUUUGUUGCCAGUUACCUGUAACUACGCAAGCAACUCAUUGCCUGUAACUAUUAAAAGAAACAAGAUGGUUUCAGAGUCUUCGAUUUCUGCAGUUUCUAAUGGAUGGUCUCGAGCGUCCAAGUUCCUGUUCUUUAAGUGCCGUCUUCGCCCUGAAGAAGUCUCCACGGGAGAAGAUGGCACUGAAGUAAUUUUCCAGGAAGAAGCCCAGUGCUGGAAAAGCUGGGUUGGCGGAGGGUGUAUAGAAGGGACCGUUGUGUGGCCAGAUGGCAGACGUGGCCACUCUCCAAGGAGCUUUCCAAGAGCCGCUGGGAAGAAGAUGCUUGAAUGAAGGAAGCUGUGAGGCUCCACUUGCUCACUUCCUUAUGGCUUCUCCCAGCUGGAGGAGGCUCAAGCCCUGGUGGAAGAAACGGCAGGGUUACAUCCUCCAAGACUCACCCUAGCUCCAAGCCAGCUCCUCGGAGGAUCAUUGUCCCCAUAUCGGUGCCCAGCUCUCCCCAGCUGCCCACAGUCAUGUUUAUGUGGCCUUUACCACUUCCACACCCAACUGGCGAGGGGGAACACAGGGAACUUCUCACUCCCUGCAUUAACCUGGUGCAAUCCCAACCCCUCCAUUGCCCAACCGUCUGCAAUGCUGCACCUACCAGUUCCCCAUCUUCUCUGUCUACCCCUCCAUACCUGGAUCCACCUGUGAAGGUACCACCCUAUGUAGAAAUCCAGACUAUUCAACUCCGGCAUGGUCCGUACCAGUGAGGAUCUAAUCUAAGGUCUGUUACUGGAUCUAAGUAAUCGAAGGUCUGACGGAAGGAGAAGCAAUGGGCUUAGGCUGCAGCAAGGGGAGUUGAGGUUGGAUAUUAGGAAAAACUUUCUCAUGAGGAGGGCGGUGAAGCGCUGGAGCAGGGUACCCAGAGAGGUGGUGCAGUCUCCAUCCUUGGAAGUUUUUAAGCCUCAGGUAGACAAAGUCGUGUCUGGGAUGCUGUAGUUGGGGCUGAUCCUGCUUGGAGCAGGGGUUGGACUAGAUGUGACUUCUGAGCUCCCUUCCCGCCCUCGUUAUCUAUGAGUCUAUUGAUUGUCCCUCAUGACCAAUAGUCCUAGCAAACCCCAAACACUUCAGAACUGGCUCUCAUAGACGCCUUUUUGGUUUCCUUCCCUACAGAUU